UGAAGAGCUUUUCAGAUUUCGCUCUUAAGUGUUUUACUCAGUUGAAUUGUAUUAAAUGCGUCAUUCGCUCUCUCAAAAAGUCACAUAAAAAAAAAAUAAUAAUAAUUGACCGCGUAGUUUUUGAGUUAUGGCCAUAGCAACACCAUAGCAACGAGGGACGCGCCGUCCUGCCGACCCCUACCUCGUGACGUAACUUCCAGGAAGCCUCGCCACCACUCUGAACACGGAAAUAUAGCACCACGCUAUCCUCGCCAUAUAUUGCAAACAUUUUCUGGGUUUUACUCGCGGGAUUCGUCAUGCCAUCUCGAUGUGUAGCGAUAUGAAUUACUCACAGGAAGACUCGAGACUCUAGGAGUGGUCCAAAAAAAAACUUCUGCAAAGCCACGACAGCUUUGAAAACCUACAACAAUGCAACCUUGGUUUUCCAAAGACGAAGCCAAACAUAAAAAAUUAAGUGGCGGAAACCCUCAACACGAUGAAAAAAGCGUUGCAAGUCAGUUGCCACCCAGUUUCCCAAAAUCAAGAGAGAGUGGGUCGAGUCAUAUGAUGACCGAAGUGAUGCGGUGUCCAGCGAUGACGACUGAAGAGAUCCUAUGAGGCCUGCCAGAUGCUGAAUUUC